CUACGGGCUGCUGCAGCGAGGAAUAUUGCACAAUGGGGGGAACCCUGAUGCAGCAACGCCGCGUGGAGGAUGACGCAUUUCGGUGUGUAAACUCCUUUUAUAUGUCAAGAAAAUGACGGUAGCAUAUGAAUAAGCACCGGCUAACUCCGUGCCAGCAGCCGCGGUAAUACGGAGGGUGCAAGCGUUACUCGGAAUCACUGGGCGUAAAGGACGCGUAGGCGGGUUGGAAAGUCAGGUGUGAAAUCCUACAGCCUAACUGUAGAACUGCACUUGAAACUUCUAAUCUAGAGUAUGGGAGGGGGAGAUGGAAUUAGUGGUGUAGGGGUAAAAUCCGUAGAUAUCACUAGGAAUACCUAAAGCGAAGGCGAUCUCCUGGAACAUUACUGACGCUAAGGCGUGAAAGCGUGGGGAGCAAACAGGAUUAGAUACCCGGGUAGUC
rnacentral:rRNA from 1 species